UACGAAGGGGGCUAGCGUUGCUCAGAAUCACUGGGCGUAAAGGGUGCGUAGGCGGGUCUUUAAGUCAGGGGUGAAAUCCUGGAGCUCAACUCCAGAACUGCCUUUAAAACUGCAUCGCUUGAAUCCAGGAGAGGUGAGUGGAAUUCCGAGUGUAGAGGUGAAAUUCGUAGAUAUUGGGAGGAACACCAGUGGCGAAGGCGGCUCACUGGACUGGUACUGACGCUGAGGCGCGAAAGCGUGGGGAGCAAACGGG
rnacentral:rRNA from 1 species